rnacentral:rRNA from 1 species
UACGAAGGGGGCUAGCGUUGCUCGGAAUUACUGGGCGUAAAGCGCACGUAGGCGGCUUUCUAAGUCGGGGGUGAAAUCCUGGAGCUCAACUCCAGAACUGCCUUUGGUACUGAGGAUCUUGAGUUCGGGAGAGGUGAGUGGAACUGCGAGUGUAGAGGUGAAAUUCGUAGAUAUUCGCAAGAACACCAGUGGCGAAGGCGGCUCACUGGCCCGAUACUGACGCUGAGGCACGAAAGCGUGGGGAGCAAACAGG